UGAAUCUGCCUUUCAGGCAUCCUCUCCCAAAACUAGGGCCGGCUUUGUCGGCCCUUUUUCUUUGUGCGU
rnacentral:sRNA from 1 species